rnacentral:rRNA from 1 species
GAUGAACGCUGGCGGCGUGCCUAAUACAUGCAAGUCGAACGGAGAGUGUUAGCUUCGGUUGAUAACUCUUAGUGGCGAACGGGUGAGUAACGCGUUGGUGACCUGCCCCGAAGAGGGGGAUAACAGCUCGAAAGGGCUGCUAAUACCCCAUGUGGUGCUAGAGGUUAGAGGCUCUAGCAAGAAAGGAGCGAUCCGCUUCGGGAGGGGCCUGCGUCCCAUCAGCUAGUUGGUAGGGUAAAGGCCUACCAAGGCGAAGACGGGUAGGGGACCUGAGAGGGUGACCCCCCACAAUGGAACUGAAACACGGUCCAUACACCUACGGGUGGCAGCAGUAGGGAAUAUUGCACAAUGGGCGAAAGCCUGAUGCAGCAACGCCGCGUGUGUGAUGAAGGCCUUCGGGUUGUAAAGCACUUUUUCGGGGAGAUGAGGAAGGACAGUAUCCCCGGAAUAAGGCUCGGCUAACUACGUG